rnacentral:ncRNA from 1 species
CAUUCGUAUUGCGACGUUAGAGGUGAAAUUCUUGGAUCGUCGCAAGACGGACAGAAGCGAAAGCAUUUGCCAAAAAUGUUUUCAUUAAUCAAGAACGAAAGUUAGAGGUUCGAAGGCGAUCAGAUACCGCCCUAGUUCUAACCAUAAACGAUGCCAGCUAGCGAUCCGCCGAAGUUCCUCCGAUGACUCGGCGGGCAGCUUCCGGGAAACCAAAGCUUUUGGG